GACGAACCGUGCGAACGUUAUUCGGAAUCACUGGGCUUAAAGCGCGUGUAGGCGGGACGGCACGUCCGACGUUGAAAUCCCCCGGCUCAACCGGGGAACGGGCGCGGAUACGACCGUCCUCGAGGAACGUAGGGGGACCUGGAACUUCCGGUGGAGCGGUGAAAUGCGUUGAGAUCGGAAGGAACGCCCGUGGCGAAAGCGGAUCUCUGGGCCGAUACUGACGCUGAGGAGCGAAAGCGUGGGGAGCGAACAGG
rnacentral:rRNA from 1 species